CACAUGCACUCAGGGUGGCCCUGAAUAAAUGCUAAUGCUGUGAAACUUACUAUGUAGCUCAGAAGUUUUCGAACUCCACGAAGUAUUUUGUGGUUCAAAAGCUUCCUGCAGUGCCUUCUGAGCCCUGUUCCUGGGAUUGUCAGAAAGUCACUGGACUCCCUGGGUCUCCAGUACCUCAACUAUGACACGGAUGGUGAUUGUCCUGUGCUUCUGGAAGCUUAUCUUGAGAGUGAGGAGAGAUUGCAUAUGCCACCCUGUAUAAACUAAACUCUACAGGAUGCCUGGGCCACAACUAGCAGCAGAUUCAGCAGGUCUAAAAAGCUACUUGCAUCCAUUGCCGGUAUGCCAUGCCCACUCUCCAGGAGAGAACCCUGUCUUCAGGGCAUGGUCUCUAUUCUUCAGAUUUACAAAGUGAGAUUCAGAGAACCUCAAGACCACCUGGAACCCUUAGGAAAUUUCACAUAAUUGUACCAAGUAUGAACCUAAGGUUUUCCAGUCUUUCUGGGACUGACAGUCAUGCAGGACAGAUUUCCUCGGAGGAGCUCACAUGUUACUCAUCCGCCAUUAGCAGAGAGGGCCUGCUGGAGCAGUGGGCCAAAGCAAGCCCAUUUACCCAUGGGACAGAUGUCAUCACACUGUCUGGGGCCUCUCUCAGGUGGGCAAGAUCUAAGAUACCGCUCCACGUCCACUGUGUUUCCUUUAACUUUCGUACCAGCCCUGAUCAAAGGGGAGCAUUGGUGGUUAUGCACACUGCAUUGCAGUUAAGGUGAUGACUUUGACUGGAAUCAGAGGUGGGAAAGUUCAUGGGAUAGAAAAUGAAACAGCAUCCUAUGAGCACAGUCGUUCUGCCUGGGAGAGGCAUGAACCUUUAUCCACGUGCCAACCUUUCAUCUCACUGAAGAUCAGAGCUACAUGUCAUUUCAUUUGCAGAGGAACACUUCUUGAGAAGCAUCUGGUGAAGUGAUGUACCCAUCCAAUUGUUGUGUGCAGCUGGGAAGGCUUCAGUAACUGGGAAAAGCAAGUGACCAGCCCACCACACUGGGCACCACAUAGAGCUCAUUGCAGUGCUCAGGAGCCCUGUGUGAAUCUGUAUGCAUUACCUAAGGGCUGCUCUGGAUACGUCUCAGGGAGACCUUUUAAGAAGACACAGGUACACCUGCCAUCAGGAAGGCGCUCAUAGUCCGGUUGCAGGGAAAUAAGGCAAUGACUCAUCUCAGGACAAGUGGAAAAGAUAAGGGCUUGGGAGGCACUAAGUGCUUGGUGUCUGACACCCAAGUAGUGGAGCUUGGAACCAGAGACCAAACAGAUGCUGGAAAUGCCAUCUUGGCCACUACCACCCUUUCCUCCAUGCCUUCCUGUCAGGGCAAUGCCAGAGAAAGGAUCCAGGGCUACCUUGAGAGGUCAGGUCAGGACAGUUGAGGAAUGACAAGCCAAGAAACUGGGAGAAGAAGCAGUAGGAUGAAGGUUGGAGAGGCAGGGAGAGGGCAGAAGCAGCACAGGAAGUCAAAAGUUAAGUAGGUGAGACAUUAUAUGAGUUAAAGUGCAGG